CCCCUUUUGCUACCCCAAAAGUCUUCUCCCUUAUCCUAUUUUCUUAGUUGCAUCAGAUCAGAAAGUCCAGCCCCUUUUCUUCUUUCUCUAUUCCUCUUUCUUUGUUCUUCUUUCUCUCUUCUUCCUUUGCUCUUGCACGGCAACCCUCCCUUCUCACCAAAACAAUAUAUCCCUCUCUAGAGAAGAAAUUAAAAGGUUAACACUAAAAUUUCAGUUUCAAAGUUUAUGGGUGGAGAGAACGAGAAGACAGGCACUUGAGCUCCUCUUGUACAAUCUCUCACGCCUUCUCUUUUCAGUGCACAGAUUCUUCCUGGAAGCAGCGAGAGUAUUAGAGGUGGCAAGGAUUCUGUGUUUUCUCGUUUGUUAGGAUGUAGAGUUUUGUUGUAUAGCAGUUAGCUCUUUUAUUGUAUAGGAGGAAUCAAGAUGUAUUUGAUCAUUUGAGCACAGGUGUAAUUCAGUACCUUAGUUUGUUUUGAACCCCAGUUGUAUGUCUUUGGGGUUAGGUUUGUAAUAAGAGUUUUACUAAAUGUUUAGCUAUGUAAUAUUUACACGGAUACCUUAUGUUUCAGCCAGGUGAUAAGUUUCCAAGUUCAAAGGAAAGGAAAUUUCAAGUUUC